AGCAACGAGGAGCGCUUCGCUCCUUUCUGGGAGGUUCACCAUGUCGUU
rnacentral:misc_RNA from 1 species